UACGUAGGGUGCGAGCGUUAAUCGGAAUUACUGGGCGUAAAGCGUGCGCAGGCGGUUUUGUAAGCCAGAUGUGAAAGCCCCGGGCUCAACCUGGGAAUGGCAUUUGGGACUGCAAGGCUUGAGUACGGCAGAGGAGACUAGAAUUCCUGGUGUAGCAGUGAAAUGCGUAGAUAUCAGGAGGAAUACCGAUGGCGAAGGCAGGUCUCUGGGCUGACACUGACGCUCAUGCACGAAAGCGUGGGGAGCGAACAGG
rnacentral:rRNA from 1 species